AUGGAAGGAAAGGAUUUGAGUAUAUCUCAUGUCAAAGUGAUGAAAAAUGUUGUGUGUUUGCAUAAGUCGAGUUCUGAUGAUACCUUUCAGAAACUAUCAUCUCUUAUUUCUUCCAAUGGCCACUCUACAACUGGUGAAAUUACUUACAUUUAUUUGCUAGUAAAGUCAUUUGGGUCAACUACGACCUUAGAGAUGGACUCGGAUUAUCCUUCUUGCACCAUGGAUUAUCGAUCCCACCACUAG